ACACAUGCAAGUCGAACGCAGUAGCAAUACUGAGUGGCAGACGGGUGAGUAACAUGUGGGAAUCUGCCUUAUGGUUCAGGACAACAUUGGGAAACCGAUGCUAAUACUGGAUAAGCCCUUACGGGGAAAGUUUUAAUGCCAUAAGAUGAGCCCGCAUUUGAUUAGUUAGUUGGUGAGGUAAUGGCUCACCAAGACAAUGAUCAAUAGCUGGUCUGAGAGGAUGAUCAGCCACACUGGGACUGAGACACGGCCCAGACUCCUACGGGAGGCAGCAGUGGGGAAUCUUGCACAAUGGAGGAAACUCUGAUGCAGCGAUGCCGCGUGAGUGAAGAAGGCCUUUGGGUUGUAAAGCUCUUUUGUAGGGGAAGAUAAUGACUGUACCCUAAGAAUAAGGUCCGGCUAACUUCGUGCCAGCAGCCGCGGUAAUACGAAGGGACCUAGCGUAGUUCGGAAUUACUGGGCGUAAAGCGCGCGUAGGCCGUUGAGUUAGUUAAUUGUGAAAUCCCAAAGCUUAACUUUGGAACUGCAAUUGAAACUGCUCGACUAGAGUUUGAUAGAGGAAAGCGGAAUACAUAGUGUAGAGGUGAAAUUCGUAGAUAUUAUGUAGAACACCAGUUGCGAAGGCGGCUUUCUGGAUCAACACUGACGCUGAGGCGCGAAAGUAUGGGUAGCAAAGAGGAUUAGAUACCCUCGUAGUCCAUACCAUAAACGAUGAUUGCUAGAUGUUGGAAAUUUAUUUUCAGUAUCGCAGCUAACGCAUUAAGCAAUCCGCCUGGGGAGUACGACCGCAAGGUUAAAACUCAAAUGAAUUGACGG
rnacentral:rRNA from 1 species